CCAGCAGCCGCGGUAAUACAGAGGUCUCGAGCGUUGUUCGGAUUUAUUGGGCGUAAAGGGUGCGUAGGCGGUGUGGCAAGUCAAGUGUGAAAUCUCGGAGCUCAACUCUGAAACUGCACUUGUUACUGCCGUGCUAGAGGGUUGUAGAGGAGAUCGGAAUUCACGGUGUAGCAGUGAAAUGCGUAGAUAUCGUGAGGAAGACCAGUUGCGAAAGCGGAUCUCUGGGCAAUUCCUGACGCUGAGGCACGAAGGCUAGGGGAGCAAACGGGAUUAGAUACCCCGGUAGUCCUAGCAGUAAACGGUGCACGUUUGGUAUGGGCAGAUUCGACCCUGUCCGUGCCGGAGCUAACGCGUUAAACGUGCCGCCUGAGAAGUACGGCCGCAAGGCUAAAACUCAAAGAAAUUGACGGGGGCCCGCACAAGCGGUGGAGUAUGUGGCUUAAUUCGAUGCAACGCGAAGAACCUUACCUGGCCUUGACAUGUAGCGUGACAGCUGAUGAAAGUCAGUGACGGUCCGAGAGGAUGCUGGGGCUACACAGGUGCUGCAUGGCUGUCGUCAGCUCGUGUCGUGAGAUGUUGGGUUAAGUCCCGCAACGAGCGCAACCCCUAUGAGCUGUUACUCUCCUAACAAGGUGUACUCUGCUCAGACUGCCCUGCGAAACGGGGAGGAAGGUGGGGAUGACGUCAAGUCAGCAUGGCCCUUACGGCCAGGGCUGCACACGUACUACAAUGCGCACUACAGAACGAUCCGAAAUCGUGAGAUGGAGGAAAUCCCUAAAGGUGCGCCCAGUUCGGAUUGUAGGCUGCAACUCGCCUACAUGAAGCCGGAAUCGCUAGUAAUGGCGCAUCAGCUACGGCGCCGUGAAUACGUUCCCGGGCCUUGUACACACCGCCCGUCACAUCAUGGAAGUCGUUUGUACCCGAAGUGUAUGAGCUAA
rnacentral:rRNA from 1 species